rnacentral:lncRNA from 1 species
GAUUUUUUCUUAUUUUAUUAUUUGUCUUUGCUUUUUAUGUUCUUUCGCUCUAAUAUUUGUUUUAUUAUUGUCUGUUGUUAUAUUCAUUUGUUAAUACAAAUAAAAAAAUAUAUAAAUAUAAAAAUAAAAUUUCUUUUACAAAAAUAAUCACAAAAAUAUUUUGAAGGUUUAAGCGUGUGUGCGAUCAUUCGCAUCAGCCUCGCGCUACGACCUUUUCCCCUUUUAUAAAAUAGCA